rnacentral:rRNA from 1 species
GACGAACGCUGGCGGCGUGCUUUACACAUGCAAGUCGAACGAUGAUGAGUGCUUGCACUUUGAUUAGUGGCGAACGGGUGAGUAACACGUGAGUAACCUGCCUCAGUCUCUGGGAUAACUCCGGGAAACCGGGGCUAAUACUGGGUAUGACAUCUCCUCGCAUGUGGGGGUGUGGAAAGAUUUUUUGGUCUGGGAUGGGCUCGCGGCCUAUCAGCUUGUUGGUGGGGUGAUGGCCUACCAAGGCGAUGACGGGUAGCCGGCCAGAGAGGGUGAACGGCCACACUGGGACGGGGAAACGGCCCAGACUCCUACGGGAGGCAGAAGUGGGGAAUAUUGCACAAUGGGCGAAAGUCUGAUGCAGCGACACCGAGUGAGGGAUGAAGGCCUUCGGGUUGUAAACCUUUUUCGCUUUUGACCAAGGCAGCAUUUUGGUGUUGUUGAGGGUAUGAGGUAAAGAAGCUCCGGCUAACUACGUGCCAGCCGCCGCCGUAAAAC